rnacentral:rRNA from 1 species
AUCAAUAAGCGGAGGAAAAGAAACCAACAGGGAUUACCUUAGUAACGGCGAGUGAAGCGGUAAUAGCUCAAAUUUGAAAUCUUACUCUUUCAGAGUACGAAUUGUAAUUUGUAGAGGAUGUUUUUGAGUAAUAUCAAUCUAAGUUUCCUGGAACGGAACGUCAUAGAGGGUGAGAAUCCCGUAUGUGAUUGAUUAAUUCUCUAUACAAAACUCCUUCGAAGAGUCGAGUUGUUUGGGAAUGCAGCUCUAAAUGGGAGGUAAAUUUCUUCUAAAGCUAAAUAUCUGCCAGAGACCGAUAGCGCACAAGUAGAGUGAUCGAAAGAUGAAAAGCACUUUGAAAAGAGAGUUAAAAAGCACGUGAAAUUGUUGAAAGGGAAGCGUUUGAGAUUAGACUUGUUGUCAGUAUUCGCUUGGUUCUUGAACUGAGUUAUUUGCUGUUAACAGGCCAACAUCAUUUUCAUCUAUCGGAUAAUUGCUUAGGAAUGUAGCUCCUCGGAGUGUUAUAGCCUAUGUCGAUACGAUAAGAUGGGAGUGAGGUCCGCGAGAAAUCUAGGAUGUUGGCGUAAUGAUCUUAAACGGCCCGUCUUGAAACACGGACCAAGGAGUCGAUCAAUUAUGCGAGUUUUCGGGUGUUAAACCCUUAAGCGUAAUGAAAGUGAACGGAGGUGAGAGCUUAGGCGCAUCAUCGACCGAUCCUGAUGUCUUCGGAUGGAUUUGAGUAAGAGCAUAAUUGAUCGGACCCGAAAGAUGGUGAACUAUGCGUGAAUAGGGUGAAGCCAGAGGAAACUCUGGUGGAGGCUCGCAGCGGUUCUGACGUGCAAAUCGAUCGUCAAAUUUGCGUAUAGGGGCGAAAGACUAAUCGAACCAUCUAGUAGCUGGGUCCUG